UACGAAGGGGGCUAGCGUUGUUCGGAUUACUGGGCGUAAAGCGCACGUAGGCGGAUUGUUAAGUCAGGGGUGAAAUCCUGGAGCUCAACUCCAGAACUGCCCUUGAUACUGGCAAUCUUGAGUCCGGAAGAGGUAAGUGGAACUGCGAGUGUAGAGGUGAAAUUCGUAGAUAUUCGCAAGAACACCAGUGGCGAAGGCGGCUUACUGGUCCGGUACUGACGCUGAGGUGCGAAAGCGUGGGAGCAAACAGG
rnacentral:rRNA from 1 species